UUUUAGUCCUGCUUUUGAGUUCUCUGAUAGUUAUUGUCAUACCGCUGGAGUACUAAAUUAACAGCGCAUCAAAAUUACCAUACAUAUAUGUAUAUGUACAUAUGCUUUGUUUCCUACAUGUGUUGUCUCUCCUGUUUUCGGAAUUUUCUAGAUGUUUUACUCCCAGCCUAGUACCCAAAAAAAGGGGAAAGGAAAACAAGAAUCUUUGUGCCUGCCCUUUGCAUGACCCAGGACUCCGGUGCCAAUGAAAAGAACACAAUCCUGAGGCCAAACUCAGCCUCUACCCUGGACAUCACAGAAUCCUGAAUAGACUUCGGAAGAGCUGUGACCUAGGAUGGAGGCUGUCAAUCAAGGGGCACUGCCUCCCCUCAGAAGGCUGGGAAGGAAAGGUUGAAAGGGUUCAAGGAAGGGCUUUGCUGAAGGCAAAGAAGAUGAAGAGAAGAGAGAGAGCUCUGAACCUCUGGGCUGGUGCAGGAGAGGGAGCCGAGCCAGUUCCCGAGCAGCCCCCAGAGAAGAGGUGUGAGAUCUCUUGCGGCUGUGACCACCUGAUCUGAGCUGUCUACUGAGUGCCUUGUCUCCCAGAAGGAGUGGUAAGGAGAAGGGCUGACAUGAGGUGUCAGCAGCAAGCACACAGGAAACAAGAGACUCUGCCUUCCUUUCCUGGCAUCUACCCACGUCCCAAGAUGCCAGCCUAGUUCCACAGAUAGAAAGGUCCCUCUGCUGCCUGCAAUAGUAUCAUAGUCAAGUCUAGAUGGAUGAUGUUUGGAGCUAAAAUGUGUUGCUUUAAAUGAACAGAAGUGACACUGCUAGCCUUUCUCUGCUAACAGGCUGCCGUGCACAGCCACUGGAGCAUUGUGUGUCAUUUCUGCAGCCAGGCCUUUGGUACUUGGUAAUACUUGCAUGGUUAUCAUUGUAACCUUGAGAUCAUCACUGAAGUUUUCUGAAGACUGCUGGAUAUCCACAGCAUCUAUACCCACCCCACCCUGCGCACCAGAGAAUUAUGAGAUGCUAAAGUCAGGAAUUAAAUGCACAUAUUUUCUUAGAAAUACUUCUACUAAUGGUUUAAAAGCGUGAGUGAAAGAGAAUUUAACUGCAAGUUUGUCAUCUAUAACAGGAACUCACCUCUCAUCCUUGUUAGACUUGUUAUUUUCAGACUGGCUACUCUGGUAGGCAUGUGCCAGCUGGGUAAGGUCUAAGACCUCUGGAAAGGCAAGGAUUUCCAGGCCCUCUUGUUCUGAGCCUGGACAUGCAGGUAAAGGAGAAGCAAGAAGAGAGGGAGGAAGAGAGAGGCACCCAGAGAGAGUUGGGAGGACCAUCUCAGUGCUCAGAGCUCCAGGGGCAGCAAAGGGCAUCUGUCAGGCCAGCCCUCUCAAACAUAGGAACAGAUCACAGCAGUGAUGUGUUUCUAUCUGUGACUGUGAUCGCUUUGACCUUGCCAGGAUGGGAGACGCCAACCCCGUGCUUCUCAGUCUCUCCUGAAGGUCUAACGCCGGCCACCCUGCAGUGCAGAUCACAGGUCUGCCAGUGAAAUAAUGGAAACUUUCCGGGAGCAAGAAGCUAAAAGAUUUUUGUCAAGACAAAUGCUCAGCAUAAGGAAAAUGAAGGUAAAUUAACUAACACCAGAGACCACAGCUGCUAGGUCAAUGUAGGAUGAGCUGUAAGAAACAAGUGACAUCGUGAAGCCCUGGUACUGGACAAGAAGUUAAUGUUUAUAUUGAGAACAGCCAUGCCAGGAAGUUCCAAUGCUCUGGGUGCAGCUUAGUCCACAAGAUGUGGUGAAAUGAGCAAUGGUUGGGGUCACUAACUGGCUAAACAACGCUCGCGAGUCACUUCAUCACUCUGGAUCUUGGUUUCCUCCUUGGCAAAGAAUUUCCUGACUGUCAACAAGCCAGCUGGACUAGAAAUUCUUUGAGGCCAGAGGCUGUGGUUUGCGUUUCCCCU
ensembl:lncRNA